AGCGAACGCUGGCGGCAGGCCUAACACAUGCAAGUCGAACGAAGUCUUCGGACUUAGUGGCGGACGGGUGAGUAACACGUGGGAACGUGCCUUUAGGGUCGGAAUAACUCAGGGAAACUUGUGCUAAUACCGAAUGUGCCCUUCGGGGGAAAGAUUUAUCGCCUUUAGAGCGGCCCGCGUCUGAUUAGCUAGUUGGUGAGGUAAAGGCUCACCAAGGCGACGAUCAGUAGCUGGUCUGAGAGGAUGAUCAGCCACAUUGGGCCUGAGACACGGCCCAAACUCCUACGGGAGGCAGCAGUGGGGAAUCUUGCGCAAUGGGCGAAAGCCUGACGCAGCCAUGCCGCGUGAAUGAUGAAGGUCUUAGGAUUGUAAAAUUCUUUCACCGGGGACGAUAAUGACGGUACCCGGAGAAGAAGCCCCGGCUAACUUCGUGCCAGCCGCCGCCGUAAUAC
rnacentral:rRNA from 1 species